rnacentral:rRNA from 1 species
GAUGAACGCUAGCGAUAGGCUUAACACAUGCAAGUCGAGGGGCAGCAUGGUCUUAGCUUGCUAAGACUGAUGGCGACCGGCGCACGGGUGCGUAACGCGUAUGCAACUUGCCUCACAGAGGGGGAUAACCCGUCGAAAGACGGACUAAUACCGCGUACACUUGGGAUAGGGCAUCCUGACCCAAGGAAAUGAAAUUCGCUGUGAGAUAGGCAUGCGUCCCAUUAGCUAGUUGGUGAGGUAACGGCUCACCAAGGCGACGAUGGGUAGGGGAACUGAGAGGUUGAACCCCCACACUGGUACUGAGACACGGACCAGACUCCUACGGGAGGCAGCAGUGAGGAAUAUUGGUCAAUGGGCGAGAGCCUGAACCAGCCAAGUCGCGUGAAGGAUGACUGUCUUAUGGAUUGUAAACUUCUUUUAUACGGGAAUAACAAGAGUCACGUGUGGCUCCCCGCAUGUACCGUAUGAAUAAGCAUCGGCUAACUCCGUG